rnacentral:rRNA from 1 species
AUUGGUGAUCUUAAUGAAAUCCUAUAUCUUGAUGAAAAGGAUGGUGGGAACCCAGGGCCUAUACAGUACAUGCAGGCUUUUCAGGAGGUAAUUGAUGAUUGCCAACUGCAUGACAUUGGGUAUACUGGAGAUCCGUUCACAUGGUACAGAGGAAGAAUAAGGGAGAGGCUAGACAGAGGCCUAGCAAAUGAUGAGUGGUCGGCUAUGUUUCCGAAUGCGUCACUUGAGAACAUGGAGUAUAAUCACUCCGAUCACAGACCACUAUGCGUAGAUACUGAAUAUUACUCUCCAAACACUGGGGGCGGGAACAAUAUGCAGGUGAAGUGCUUCGAGGCAAGAUGGCUGAGAGAGAGAAAGUUUGAUGCAACUGUCCUUGCGGCCUGGGAGAUGGUAAGUGCUCAUCCGAGCGCGGCAAGCAUAUAUGACAAGUUGAAAAAAAUGCAUGUUGAAUUCCAUGAUUGGAAUCAAAGGGUUCUAAAGAAACCCAAGAAGUGUUUGCGCAAAGCACAGCGAGAUCUUGAAAAGGUCAUGGCGGGACCUACGAAUGAUGAUAGUGAAGAGAAAAGAAAAGAGUUGGCUGAACUGAUUGAACAUCUGCUCGAGCUAGAAGAAAUACAAUCGAGGCAAAGAUCACGUGUGACAUGGCUGUCUGGUGGUGAUUGGAAAUACAGCCUUUUUUCAAGCGUUUGCGUCGGCGAAAGAAAACUUUUGUUAAAAAAUUGA